rnacentral:rRNA from 1 species
CCUACGGGAGACAGCAGUGAGGAAUAUUGGUCAAUGGGCGUAAGCCUGAACCAGCCAAGUCGCGUGAGGGAUGAAGGUUCUAUGGAUCGUAAACCUCUUUUAUAAGGGAAUAAAGUGUGGGACGUGUCCUGUUUUGUAUGUACCUUAUGAAUAAGGAUCGGCGAACUCCGUGCCAGCAGCCGCGGUAAUACGGAGGAUCCGAGCGUUAUCCGGAUUUAUUGGGUUUAAAGGGUGCGUAGGCGGCCUUUUAAGUCAGCGGUGAAAGUCUGUGGCUCAACCAUAGAAUUGCCGUUGAAAAUGGGAGGCUUGAGUAUGUUUGAGGCAGGCGGAAUGCGUGGUGUAGCGGUGAAAUGCUUAGAUAUCACGCAGAACCCCGAUUGCGAAGGCAGCCUGCCAAGCCAUGACUGACGCUGAUGCACGAAAGCGUGGGGAUCAAACAGGAUUAGAUACCCCUGUAGUC